rnacentral:rRNA from 1 species
CCUACGGGGGGCAGCAGUGGGGAAUAUUGGACAAUGGGGGGAACCCUGAUCCAGCCAUGCCGCGUGUGUGAAGAAGGCCCUCGGGUUGUAAAGCACUUUCAGUGAGGAAGAACGCCUGGUGGUUAAUACCCAUCAGGAAAGACAUCACUCACAGAAGAAGCACCGGCUAACUCCGUGCCAGCAGCCGCGGUAAUACGGAGGGUGUGAGCGUUAAUCGGAAUUACUGGGCGUAAAGCGCGCGUAGGUGGCUUGAUAAGCCGGUUGUGAAAGCCCCGGGCUCAACCUGGGAACGGCAUCCGGAACUGUCAAGCUAGAGUGCAGGAGAGGAAGGUAGAAUUCCCGGUGUAGCGGUGAAAUGCGUAGAGAUCGGGAGGAAUACCAGUGGCGAAGGCGGCCUUCUGGACUGACACUGACACUGAGGUGCGAAAGCGUGGGUAGCAAACAGGAUUAGAUACCCUAGUAGUC